GACGAACGCUGGCGGCGUGCUUAACACAUGCAAGUCGAACGCUGAAGCUCAGCUUUUGUUGGGUGGAUGAGUGGCGAACGGGUGAGUAACACGUGAGUAACCUGCCUCCUUCUUUGGGAUAACGCCCGGAAACGGGUGCUAAUACUGGAUAUUCACUGGUCUUCGCAUGGGGGUUGGUGGAAAGGGUUUUUCUGGCGGGGGAUGGGCUCGCGGCCUAUCAGCUUGUUGGUGGGGUGAUGGCCUACCAAGGCUUUGACGGGUAGCCGGCCUGAGAGGGUGACCGGUCACAUUGGGACUGAGAUACGGCCCAGACUCCUACGGGAGGCAGCAGUGGGGAAUAUUGCACAAUGGGCGCAAGCCUGAUGCAGCGACGCCGCGUGAGGGAUGGAGGCCUUCGGGUUGUGAACCUCUUUCGCUCAUGGUCAAGCCGCAACAAUGGUUGUGGUGAGGGUAGUGGGUAAAGAAGCGCCGGCUAACUACGUG
rnacentral:rRNA from 1 species